rnacentral:rRNA from 1 species
CAGCAGCCGCGGGAACACCGGCGGCCCGAGUGGUGAUCGUGAUUAUUGGGUCUAAAGGGUCCGUAGCCGGUUUGGUCAGUCCUCCGGGAAAUCUGAUAGCUCAACUAUUAGGCUUUCGGGGGAUACUGCCAGACUUGGAACCGGGAGAGGUAAGAGGUACUACAGGGGUAGGAGUGAAAUCUUGUAAUCCCUGUGGGACCACCUGUGGCGAAGGCGUCUUACCAGAACGGGUUCGACGGUGAGGGACGAAAGCUGGGGGCACGAACCGGAUUAGAUACCCGGGUAGUCCCAGCCGUAAACGAUGCUCGCUAGGUGUCAGGCAUGGCGCGACCGUGUCUGGUGCCGCAGGGAAGCCGUGAAGCGAGCCACCUGGGAAGUACGGCCGCAAGGCUGAAACUUAAAGGAAUUGGCGGGGGAGCACAACAACGGGUGGAAGCCUGCGGUUUAAUUGGACUCAACGCCGGACAACUCACCGGGGGCGACAGCAAUAUGUAGGCCAAGCUGAAGACUUUGCCUGAAUCGCUGAGGGGAGGUGCAUGG